UGAGGAACUGCAACAGGAGGAG
rnacentral:misc_RNA from 1 species